rnacentral:rRNA from 1 species
GACGAACGCUGGCGGCGUGCCUAAUACAUGCAAGUCGAGCGGGGAUUAUGCUUGAUCGCUUCGGUGAGACGGCAUAUAUCCUAGCGGCGGACGGGUGAGUAACGCGUGGGUAAUCUACCUCGUAGUUCGGGAUAACAGGCCGAAAGGCUUGCUAAUACCGGAUGAGUUCAUGCUUAUGCAUAUAGGCAUGAAGAAAGGGCUAGCCCGCUAUGAGAUGAGCCCGCGUCCCAUUAGCUUGUUGGUGGGGUAAUGGCCUACCAAGGCAACGAUGGGUAGCCGGCCUGAGAGGGUGUACGGCCACACUGGGACUGAGACACGGCCCAGACUCCUACGGGGGCAGCAGUAGGGAAUUUUCGGCAAUGGGCGAAAGCCUGACCGAGCGACGCCGCGUGAGGGACGAAGGCCUUCGGGUUGUAAACCUCUGUCUGGGGGAUGAGAACGGACGGUACCCCGGAGGAGCCCGGCUAACUACGUG